rnacentral:sRNA from 1 species
AACUAGCCCUGAUGGAGCCGAUAUCCUCGUAACGGAGUGGAGAGAUAAAGGCGACAGCAGGAAUCCAU